ensembl:lncRNA
AUGACCGAUAUUGGAGAUGAUACACCAGACUGGAUGGACGCUUGCUUUGAGCCAGUGUCAGUGCUGCAUGAGAGCCCGUUCAGUAGCAAAAUAGGAUAGAGUCAUGGUCCCACAGAAAGAGAAACUGGCAGGCUCACUGGGGCUGUUUUCCAUCUUUGCAAGGAUUUAAGAGUGAAAAGGUUCUUGGUACGUUGACUUUGGAUCUGGGGCUCUGUAGGACAAGCAGCUCUUGUGUUCGGUAAUGUUCCUUUGCUCUAAUAUAGUGCCAGGAAAGCUGCCUUGGGGAUAAUGAGUUUUCUGUGCACUUUCCUACCUGGGUGUCUUUCCUCCUUUACAGCCAGUCGGAGAGAUGAGCGUGAUACCCUGUUAUGAACUAAGAAGCACUUUCUGACCUAGGACUUUGUGCCUUAUAUGUGCCUGAAGCGAUGCUCAGUUUUUGCACCUUGCUAGGAUCCCAUUUGGCGUGAUACAGUGCUGAAGUACAUUUGUUUUCUUACUUCAUUCACUGAACAUCUGCUACCGUUUAGAAAACACCGCCAAAUAAAAGAAACAUCCCCUCUGCCUGUCCGCCAGCAAUCAGUAUUGAUCUUUUCUCAGCUAGAUAAAAUAGGAAAAAGAUCAAAUCCCCUUACGAUUUACGGUCUGCGCAGUCCUCUGCCAAACCUGGAGGGCAGUCUGUGGUAAGUUACAACCAAAAAAGAAGCAAUGGGUGAGAUCCAUAGCAACUCCCAUGUGGUAAAAUACCACUAAGGAAGAAGUUUGAAAAAGUUAGUGCCUGAGCAGCUUUGCGAAGCCCGCUGAUGCUGUGCAAGGACAGCGUUACUUGAGAGAUGGCAGAGAGAGCCUGCACCACCUCACCCGUCUGAAAAGAGCAUGGUACGGUUGUGCAUUCACUUGGAUGAAAUCAACAUCAGAAGACUGCUUUAAGCCAUCUUGCUGGGAGGCAGAAGGAUUGUUGUUUCCAUGCCCUGUGAGAAGAGGAAUGGGAAGUUCCAGUUCUCAGAAUGUUUCUUCAGUUUUUCUCUUACAAGGAUAUAUUUUCUGUGAAGGGAGUUAUCCAACCAUGUGGUCCUCUGAUAGAAGGGACUGGACGGGACGACUCCAGAAACACCUUCCUGUUUUAUGUUUCCAAAGCAUCUUCUCUUCAGAGAGAGAAAUGGAAAAGGAGAGAGACAAGGUGUUGGGUUACUGGCUUCCUUCGGAAAGCAAGGAUGGUUCUCCUCAACGACAAAGACCUGAUUUCUAUAAUUUAAAUACCUGGACCGGAAAAAUCUUCAAUGAAUUGAAUCAACAGAAUGAAAACGAUUGGCUAACCUUAUAUUAUGUGCAACUCAACAUCUGUUUUCCAUUGGUAAGUUAAGAUGCAUUGCUUUCAAGGUCCUUCGAGCUCCAUGUCCAGAAAUGAAGUUGCCUUUCUGUAAAGGCCACAGUCCUACAGAGAGGGAACCAAACAUCUGAUCCUACAGCUGCAAAAUCAUAGGCUCUUCCACUUUACCUAAAGGGAAGAGCUUUGUCACCUUCACAGGUGACAGAUCCCAUCAGGACUGCUAUCAACCAGCACAAGCCAUGUGCUGCCACAAGGCUGCAAGCUCGUUUCUGCUCUUGCAAGUCAUUAACAG